rnacentral:rRNA from 1 species
UAGGGAAUCUUCGGCAAUGGGGGGAACCCUGACCGAGCAACGCCGCGUGAGUGAGGAAGGUUUUCGGAUCGUAAAGCUCUGUUGUUAAGGAAGAACGAGCGUGAGAAUGGAAAGUUCAUGCUGUGACGGUACUUAACCAGAAAGGGACGGCUAACUACGUGCCAGCAGCCGCGGUAAUACGUAGGUGCCGAGCGUUGUCCGGAUUUAUUGGGCGUAAAGCGUGCGCAGGCGGUUAGAAAAGUCUGAAGUGAAAGGCAGUGGCUCAACCAUUGUAGGCUUUGGAAACUGUUUAACUUGAGUGCAGAAGGGGGGGGUGGAAUUCCAGGUGUAGCGGUGAAAUGCGUAGAUAUAUGGAGGGACACCGGGGGCGAAAGCGGCUCUCUGGUCUGUAACUGACGCUGAGGCUCGAAAGCGUGGGGAGCGAACAGG